rnacentral:misc_RNA from 1 species
GAACCUUAAAUUUCAAAUGGUUAAAGACAUAGUAGGAACCCUUGACGUUGAUUCCUACAGGGUAUCCUGUCCAACGCAAAGGAUAGCCUUCUUUCUUGGUAUACCGGAUUGCAGGUAAAUUGUCCAGGAUCAAGUUCACUUGAUACAUCUCAUCAAUCCUCUCCUUUAAGGUCUUAAACUGAUCAUCAGUCAAUGGAUCUGUUUGACACAAGAACACAUCUGUCUGAUUCUUAUACAUCUUAAACAGAUACGGCGAGUUCUCAAUCCGGUCCCCCAUAAGAAGCUCACCAAGAUUUU